UGAGGAAUAUUGGUCAAUGGGCGCAAGCCUGAACCAGCCAUCCCGCGUGCAGGAAGACGGCCCUAUGGGUUGUAAACUGCUUUUCCAGGGGGAGAAACUUGCGCACGUGUUGCGCAAUUGACGGUACCCUGGGAAUAAGCAUCGGCUAACUCCGUGCCAGCAGCCGCGGUAAUACGGAGGAUGCGAGCGUUAUCCGGAUUCAUUGGGUUUAGAGGGUGCGUAGGCGGACUAUUAAGUCAGUGGUGAAAUCCUGCAGCUUAACUGCAGAACCGCCAUUGAUACUGAUAGCCUUGAGUUUGGUUAAGGUAGGCGGAAUGUGUAAUGUAGCGGUGAAAUGCUUAGAUGUUACACAGAACACCAAUUGCGUAGGCAGCUUACUGAGCCGACACUGACGCUGAGGCACGAAAGCGUGGGGAUCGAACAG
rnacentral:rRNA from 1 species